ACAGUUAAAUAACAAACAAGAGCAGGGGCGUCAAACUCAAUGUCACUAAGGGCCACACUGGAAAAUGACAAUCACAUCAAGAGCCAGACAUGUUUAGUUUAUUGACAUGCUUUUAUUUCAUGGA